AUCUUUGCGCUUGGGGCAAUGACGCAGUUAGUGAGGUGAAACCGAGACGCGUCAAUUGCUGGUUGAAAACUAUUUCCAUUUCCAGUAUUCUCUAAUCUUCAAUCACAUAUUUUGAUUACAACAUUAUCAAACAUUUUUGAAAAAAA
rnacentral:snRNA from 1 species